UGCAUAAAUACUUAGAAUUGAGAGU
rnacentral:piRNA from 1 species